rnacentral:miRNA from 1 species
AAACAUGUCUAUGGCCAUGCUACCCUGAACAAGCCUGAUCCCAUCUGAUCUCAGAAGCUAAGCAGGGUCGGGCCUGGUUAGUACUUGGAUGGG